rnacentral:rRNA from 1 species
UGGGGAAUAUUGCACAAUGGGCGAAAGCCUGAUGCAGCGACGCCGCGUGAGGGAUGACGGCCUUCGGGUUGUAAACCUCUUUCAGCAGGGACGAAGCGCAAGUGACUGUACCUGCAGAAGAAGCACCGGCUAACUACGUGCCAGCAGCCGCGGUAAUACGUAGGGUGCGAGCGUUGUCCGGAUUUAUUGGGCGUAAAGAGCUUGUAGGCGGCUCGUCGCGUCGGGUGUGAAAACUUGCGGCUCAACCGCAAGCCUGCACCCGAUACGGGCGGGCUAGAGUUCGGCAGGGGAGACUGGAAUUCCUGGUGUAGCGGUGGAAUGCGCAGAUAUCAGGAGGAACACCGGUGGCGAAGGCGGGUCUCUGGGCCGAUACUGACGCUGAGAAGCGAAAGCGUGGGGAGCGAACAG